rnacentral:rRNA from 1 species
AUGAGAAUUGUAGAUGGUGAUAGUGCAUAUGGUGGCGUUGCUUAUGAUCUCCAAUCUUAUGCAAAUCGAAUCAUUAGUCUAUGCUGUUCCUCUUCCAGCUGCGAGCGCAAUUGGAGUGUAUUUAAUCAUAUCCAUACCAAAGGAAGAAACUGCUUGGAGUAUAAGAGAUUGAAUAAGCUAGCCUAUGUCUCUUACAACAGGCAAAUGACAACUAGGUUUCAAAAGUUAAGUGAGCAAGGUUGCAAAGGAAAGAGGGCUAAUGCACUUACCCUAGAAGAAUGUCAGUGGGAUAAUGAGUGGGUUGAUGUCAGUGCUGAAUUGGUUCAACAAAAUGAAGCUAACAAUGAUAAUCCACUACUUUGGUCCCAAGUUGAUGAGGCUGUUGGUGCGACAGAUGGUCUAAGUGGACGCCAUGUUCCAAGGAGGGCUCGCGGUGAUUUUAGUGAGUCAAGUCUAGUUUUGACCCACUGGCCCUCAUAUGGUUUAUACUCAAAGGCCAAAUCCGGUCAUCAAUGA